AGAAUCAACGCUGGCGGCGUGCCUAACACAUGCAAGUCGCACGAGAAAGGGGAGCAAUCCCUGAGUAAAGUGGCGCACGGGUGAGUAACACGUGAAUAAUCUACCUCCGAGUGGGGAAUAAACUGAGAGAAAUCUUAGCUAAUACCGCAUAACACUUACGAGUCAAAGCAGCAAUGCGCUUGGAGAGGAGUUCGCGGCAGAUUAGUUAGUUGGCGGGGUAAUGGCCCACCAAGACGAUGAUCUGUA
rnacentral:rRNA from 1 species